UGAGAUGAGUUCGCACAUCCUCCUUUAGCUCAGAGAAGUUUGUUAUUACCGACUUUCUGAAGCCUACUUCUGUCAGCUCAUCAAAGUCAUUCUCCAUCCUGCUUUGUUCCAUUGCUGGCGAGGAGCUGCGAUCCUUUGGAGGAGAAGGGAUGUCAGGUUUUUGGAAUUUUCAGCUUUUGUGCUCUGGUUUCUCCCCACCUUUGUGGUUUUAUCUACCCUUGGUCUUUGAUGAUGGCGACCUACAGAUGGGGUUUUGGGGUGGAUGUCUUUUUUGUUGAUGUUGAUGCUAUUCCUUUCUGUGUGUUAGUUUUCCUUCUAACAGUCAGGUCCCUCAGCUUCAGGUCUGUUGGAGUUUGCUGGAAGUCCACUCCAGACCCUCAAACAGGGAUUUCUUGGUGUUGCCUAUUCUCUCCCAUGUGUUUAAAUCCAGGGAGAGGUGUAUAUAUGCUUUCUUCCUAUUUGUUGGUAGUAUGUUGGCUAGUAUUUUUGCAAGACAAGAAAUUGAAAAAGUAAAUAUAUUAUAUCAAAAUAUUGGGAAAAUGGGGCCCUUAAUACACAAGAUCUGUGUCUGCACUGCGUCAAGAACUCUCUUCACUUGAAUGCUGCAUGUAAAAUUCAACCCAAUUUAUGCAAAGUAGUUGAAGCCCUGUGUCAGUUCUCUGUGCUGCAAGUCAUGAUGGUAGUUUACAGGGAGAGUCUGGGUGCCCUGAGUUGGCUCAUCCGUGGCAAAUGUACUGAGCACAUGCUGCCCAUUUUUGCUCUGUCCCCAGAGCAGUCACCCUCCACCCUGUAUUUAGAAGGAUAGUUUUAUUUCUCUUGAAGGAAAAAUGCCUUUGGUUUCUGUGACCACUCCAUUCUGUCUCCCAUCAGAUCAUCUGGGAGGUUUUGUUGUCUAAUGUCUGUUGGUUAAAUCUUCUAUCAUCCCUGUCCUGCCUGGCUCAUCAGGAAUCUGCAGGAGUCUGAAGAGGAGGAAGUCCCCCAGGAGUCCUGGGAUGAAGGUUAUUCGACUCUCUCAAUUCCUCCCGAAAUGUUGGCCUCGUACCAGUCUUACAGCAGCACAUUUCACUCAUUAGAGGAACAGCAAGUCUGCAUGGCUGUUGACAUAGGCAGUGAGUACUCCAUUGUGAAGGUGAUAAAGCUCCAGUUCAUGGCCCAGGUAGACCCCAUAAUCUUUGGGCCUUGUGCCCCUUGUUGGGCUGAGAGUUGCCAUCACCGUGGGCUGAACCUAUAUAUCAAUGUAGAUUUCAAUCACUCUGGAGUCGAGUCUGAAGCACAGGCAUGGGGUGGGUCAGUGAGCUUUGCUCUCUUCCUAGUCUCAGGCCAUGCCCGUGCCAACCUGGACUGACUGUCACGACAUUGAACUCAAGGCAGGUGUGGCAAACUCACACCAAACUAUGCAGCACAUGCCCAGGAGUUGUCCGUCAGAUCAGCUCAUCUGAAUUAAAUGUCUCUUGCCAGCUACAAAAUUCCUUAUGAGUUUUGUUCCCAAAGCAUGUCUGUGUGGUUCUUUACCUGCCCAAGGCCAGUGUCACCCUUGUCUACCUCUCAGUGAAAGAUGUGACCCAGGUUUCACUGAAUUUAUCCCCAUUUUCUGUGUCUUCUAAGUUCGCUUGUUUUAGCUCAUCUGUCCGUCAUGUUCCUGGUAUGUUUUCUAGAUAAAUGGCUGACUUUUCACCCACAAAAGCCAUAAUAGCUGAUGCUUCUGUGUAGAACCAAGUUUCAUUUUGACUCAAGAGCUGGUACAUUGCACCCCUUCAUCAAAUCUCUGUGUCCACAAUCUCAUAAACUAUCAAAUUCUGGGUAUUUGAUGAGAGAAAGCUUAAUAUUGAAGUAUCUCUCCUAUGAGGUGUUAGAACUAUUUGCCUACAAUUUAUUGGGGAAAAAAUUGCUCAUUUGUGUACACAAACCUAGGACAGAGCACAUAGGGAAGAUAACAUUCCAAAACAGGGGAAUUUGCCCAAGGCUCAUGAAAGAACCCAAGCCAGUUUUCUCAAGACUUGACCUCAGGCCUACUGGAAUAUUUCUCUCAAAGUCUCCUGUUCUCACACUGACAAGACUGAUGUCCCUGUGUUAGGAUUGGACAGAGGAAUGUUUCUGUGUGCAAGGAAGAACUGCUUAAUGUAAGAGGCCCAUCUGAAUUUAUUUGCAGGACAUCGGUGGGAUCAAGUGAAAAAGGAGGACCAAGAGGCAACAGGUCCCAGGCUCAGCAGGGAGCUGCUGGAUGAGAAAGGGCCUGAAGUCUUGCAGGACUCACUGGAUAGAUGUUAUUCAACUCCUUCAGGUUGUCUUGAACUGACUGACUCAUGCCAGCCCUACAGAAGUGCCUUUUACGUAUUGGAGCAACAGCGUGUUGGCUUGGCUGUUGACAUGGAUGAAAUUGAAAAGUACCAAGAAGUGGAAGAAGACCAAGACCCAUCAUGCCCCAGGCUCAGCAGGGAGCUGCUGGAUGAGAAAGGGCCUGAAGUCUUGCAGGACUCACUGGAUAGAUGUUAUUCGACUCCUUCAGGUUAUCUUGAACUGCCUGACUUAGGCCAGCCCUACAGCAGUGCUGUUUACUCAUUGGAGGAACAGUACCUUGGCUUGGCUCUUGACGUGGACAGAAUUAAAAAGGACCAAGAAGAGGAAGAAGACCAA
rnacentral:sRNA from 1 species